GUUAUACCAUUAGGGUGAAUAUACUAUAUUUAUAAUGUUAAUUUGUUUUUCCAUGAAAAUUAAAAGUUUUGAGUAGGUGAAAUUAUCAAAUUGAUUACUUCUUUAAACAAAUAUUUGAAACCUUUUUACAAAAACUAGGAUUAGAUACCCUAUUAUUAAGAUAUUAUAAAUUAGGUAGUAGUGGUACAUCCGAAACCUAAAGAACUUGGCGGUAUUUUAAAUGAUCGGAGGAACCUGUCAUAUAAUUGAAAGUCCACAACAUAUCUUACCUAAUUUCUGUUUGUAUACCGUUGUUUAAGCAGUAUUUAAAAAUAUAGUUGAGAUUAAUUUAAUUUCAGAAAUCAAAUCAAGGUGCAGCAUAAUUAGGAAAUGAUGGGUUACAAUAUAUUUCAUAUAUUACGGAGGUAAUAUGAAAGACACCCAGAAGGAGGAUUCGAAAGUAAUAAAAUAUAAAAAGUU
rnacentral:rRNA from 1 species